GGCUUUACUCUCGUAUCGUUGCCCUACCGCAAGAUUUAACGAAGACAUAUCCAACCUUGGAAGAACCUCCUCACUCUCUUUAGACCCGAUCAUCGAGAAGUUCUGAUAUAUCUUCUUGGGAGGUAUCGUUGGUGACUCUUCGUCUUCUAAAGGAGAGUCACCGUAUGAACUGAAGUUAUCAUCUUCAGAUGACGCACCGUCCGAGUCGUCGAACAU
rnacentral:lncRNA from 1 species